GCAAACUUGGUCAUUUAGAGGAAGUAAAAGUCGUAACAAGGUUUCCGUAGGUGAACCUGCGGAAGGAUCAUUAUCAGUUAAAAAGAUUUUUGAAGCUUGCUUCAAAAUCUUUUAAACUCCUUCUUAUCCUAUGAUUAAUUUUACCUCAGUUGCUUUGGUUAAAAAUCUUAACCGAUCUUAACCAAUAGCCUUUACAUAAAUUCUUGUUUAAUUAUGAAGUCUGAAUUCUAAUUAAUUAAAAUUUAAUUAAAACUUUCAACAACGGAUCUCUUGGUUCUGGCAUCGAUGAAGAACGCAGC
rnacentral:misc_RNA from 1 species